AUUGAACGCUGGCGGCAUGCUUUACACAUGCAAGUCGAACGGCAGCACAGGGAGCUUGCUCCUGGGUGGCGAGUGGCGAACGGGUGAGUAAUGUAUCGGAACGUGCCUGGUAGUGGGGGAUAACUACUCGAAAGAGUGGCUAAUACCGCAUGAGAUCUUUGGAUGAAAGCGGGGGACCUUCGGGCCUCGUGCUACUGGAGCGGCCGAUAUCAGAUUAGGUUGUUGGUGGGGUAAAGGCCUACCAAGCCUGCGAUCUGUAGCUGGUCUGAGAGGACGACCAGCCACACUGGGACUGAGACACGGCCCAGACUCCUACGGGAGGCAGCAGUGGGGAAUUUUGGACAAUGGGCGUAAGCCUGAUCCAGCAAUGCCGCGUGCAGGACGAAGGCCUUCGGGUUGUAAACUGCUUUUGUACAGAACGAAAAGUCUCUGGCUAAUAUCUAGAGAUCAUGACGGUACUGUAAGAAUAAGCACCGGCUAACUACGUG
rnacentral:rRNA from 1 species